UACGUAGGGUGCAAGCGUUGUCCGGAAUUAUUGGGCGUAAAGAGCUUGUAGGCGGUUUGUCGCGUCUGCUGUGAAAUUUCGGGGCUCAACCCCGAACUUGCAGUGGGUCGGGCAGGACUAGAGUGUGGUAGGGGGAGACUGGAAUUCCUGGUGUAGCGGUGAAAUGCGCAGAUAUCAGGAGGAACACCGAUGGCGAAGGCAGGUCUCUGGGCCAUAACUGACGCUGAGAAGCGAAAGCAUGGGGGAGCGAACAGG
rnacentral:rRNA from 1 species